GUGAAUUAAAAACUUUGAAGCUUGAAGUGUUAUAAAUUGAAGCUACAUUUGUUGAAAUAAUAUAACUGUAAAAAAUGUUCAGAAAUAACGUAAAACACGCAACUCAACAAAGGACAAGAUUACGCACAGAUCUCGUGAACAGCACUGUUGCCCUCACCACGCAAAACGCGCCAGUCUGCAGGUCAGAAUGGCGUUCAGUUGCUAUGACAACCAGUUUCGAAUCGGCAACAGGUGGCCGAGAACAAUGCAUGGAGCGCAGUCGUUUUCUGAGUGUCUCGCAAGAAGUUUUCGCAGCUGGCCCGAGUGUUCACCGGCCGUAAAAAGCGCAGCAGUUCCGCCAAGGCCAUCUUGACCCAAGGCCCGGCACCCUCCAGGGACAACUUGCUGCUACAGGAAGAGGACAGUGAUGGCACUUAGGGCUAGAGUUAAGACCGGUGUUGUUGUGAGGGCCUCAACUAGCAGUGCCAGAGAAUUAUCAGAACAGGUUGCGUACUGUUUGACGAGCAUCAGCUGACUGGCAUAAAACAUACUGAAAACUUAAAACUGAUUCACAGGACAUCCACAAAUUGUGACAUUUCUCCACUCAGAAUUUUUCCAACCUUUUCUGUAAUUAACUUUAAAACUAUCAGCUGAUUUUUUAAAAACACUUAAGUUAAAACUAUUUUUGGCAUACUUUGGGGUUGCAUUAAACACAAGUAUACUUAAGAAGUUUGAUAGUUAACCAAAACUACAUCAAAAUUGGUUGGAAUUGGCUUUUUCUCACAAUUUUUUUUACUGAUUAAACCAAUGUUUUGGCUGUGGUAUGUUCAGAUUUACUUAUGCUUCAGUACCCUUUUUCUCUUAAGUAAUAAAAAGAAAACCUCUCAACCAAAUCAAACAAAAUUUAUAUUACCAUGUGAUUUUGAUUCCAUAUGAAAAUUACAAUUAUGCAAUAACACGUUGUGCUCUGAAAAAUAUACUCUUGGCAUAAGAAGUGAAGGACAUGAAAUUAAUUAUCCCAGUACUUGGAAUUUGUACUUGUUAUAAUUAACAAAUUCUCAUCCAAUCUCGUUAAGGUGAAAUGUGGCCUCAUCUUAGUCUCUACAACAUAGUUUGACUACUUUCUUAAAUACUGUGUGAAUGCGUUGAAAUUAGUACAUUUUUUAUAGCUAAGGGGCUGAUCACUUUUCGUUUAUUUUUUACUUGACUUCAGUGAGUUUGUGAGAUGGUAAAAGUUUAUUAAGGGUAUUUGGCCAACAAAUAAAUAUUUUUGUCAAAUAUCUUUACUGUGCCUCAUUAAUACUGAAUUUGGAAUCAAAAUUGGUUUGAAAAGUUUGGUGUAUUUGAAGUAUUGACUUUGUGCCCACUAGCUCAAAGACCAUUUCAGUUAUUAACCUUCUCCCAAUCGGGUGCACACCGUGCUUUCAUAAAGCGCGUGAUGGGAUACACGUUGCUAUGAAUUUCCUUAUCGCGUUUGUAUGUCUUCGUGGUUUGUUAAAUUUGUUCCUGCGCUUAAAUAAAUAUCUUAGACUAUCGCGUAACCCGUCGGGCACAUGAAUGCUUAUUUUUUAAGUUAAAUUAAUUUUUUUAGGAACCCCUUGGGAUACACAGAAAAAAUUGAUAAAACAUAUUUAAAUAAUUUUUUGUAUGCAAAAUUGCGAGACCUACUACAUCAGGAAAAAGCCGUACAGUGUUCCAGUGCAAUUUGCGAUUAAAUCCUUUUCGAAUAAAUAUAUUUUUCAAUCUGUGAAGCUUUUAAUUGUUUGGCACUAAUCAAAUGACUAGUUGAGUAAAUUCCAGUCCACACAAAAACACGUACACUGCACUGCUAUGUAAUACGUUAGUUUUCCACCUAUUUUUGUAAGUAUUAGGAAAUCAUUCCUUAAAAUAUUCUACAAUUGUCACCUGUUCAUUUCGAUUUUUCAAGUUGAUCAUUCGUAUUUGCUUUUAUUCCACACAUUUGAGAUUUCCGCUAUGUACAUACCAUGAUUAUAUUUUCUCACAGUUUUAUAUGCAUUUUAAAUGCUCCACAUCACCAGGAUGGCUUAAAGGCGUGUAAGUUUUGGAAAUAAAGAUGCCAACGUGUAUUUUAUUGUUAUAAAUGUUAUAUUUUGUAAAGACGCCGAAAAGCGAAGGGUAGUGCGUUGUUUAGUAUGUUGAGGCAGAUUUUCAGAUGUCGUUUAGCAUAGGAAAGUCACGGAAACCAUUAACCCAACCAAAGAUGAAACAAAGAACGAUAUUAGUCUAGUCAAGUAUUGUUAUUUUACUUUUAUCUCCUAACCUCUUACUAGAAUAUAAUAACCUGAUGUGUUAAGUGAAAACUCAACCUGGAAUCCAUUGCUGUUUUUUUUGUUUGUUCUAAAACCGAUUACUGAGUUUUUUAUACUGUGAGUGACAGUUAUAUAUUUUUGUAUGUUCCAACUUAAAUAGUUUUUGGUGCUCAGUAGUUCGUUAGACUUCCACGUUUUAGGUACUUCCUAGAUAAAUAAAUAUUUUACAGCUACGAAUACUGUACUGUAGUUCUCAUCUCAUUCCAACCUCAUCUGGCCCAACAGUGGCAAACCUAGUAACUUCCUUCUACCCAAACUAAAGUAAAUAACAAAUAUUUAUUUUGAAAGAUAAACUUAAUAGUCCUCUUAGAGCCUCCUUGGCUUGGCAAGUGAUUUUACACUUGCUACCUACAAUGUGAGUGAAUAAAAAACAUAGAUACAUAAAUAUUUACUAUUCCAUAUUAUAUUUAUUAAAAAUAUAUAAGUAAAAAUAAUGUGUGACGUAUCUAAAUUUGAAUCAGAAAUUAGAACGAAUUAUUAAUUUUUAGUUUCUUGUACUAAGAAUUGUUUAGACCUUUAUAUGCACUAUUUUUAUGGUAUUGAUGUGAGUAACAAAUCAAUAUUCAGUAUCGUUCAGAUUAAUUGAUUAUGUUUUCAAAUUUGUUUUCACUUCACAUUUUAAAUAAAUCAAACUGUAAUAGUGGCUUGAAAAAGCUUAAAAUAAUCCACCCUUAAUUAAAUCUAUCUAAAUUGUUAUUAUUUUUCCUACAUAGUUGUGUAUAAGAUUUGUGUACAUGUAUAUGUUUUCUAGUUUAUUAAGAGUACGAUUAAAAUUGUUACAUUUAUGAUGGAAACGGGAAUGGAAAAUCCAGAAUAUUUUAUUGUGACAUAUUUACGGAAAAUUAAAAGAAAGUCUUUUUUGUAAUUAUUGUGCGUUGGGUUGCUAUUCCAAUGCACUCUUGAUGUCAAAAGUUGAAUUAUCAUAUAUUUUUUGUUGUUAUUAGUUUAUAAAACACAGAAUUAACUAUCUUUAGAAUAAGAAAGAAGUGCUAAUGGGCGCUUAGGUAGCUCCUUAGAAUUUUGUCGUAAUGUUUAAUGAAAGAGGGAGAGAGAAUUUUUAAACUUUGUAACCUGUGUAUUUUUACUCUCUUAUUAUAAAUGAGAAAUGGACAUAUCUUAGAAUUAAAUCAUAUAUGUGUAUUGUGUCAUUCAGAGGUUUCCUAUUGUAACCAAAAUUUGAAUCUUGAUUUUAUUAAUACUAAGUGGUGUGUAAUGUUACUAAAUUUGUAACAUCAACGAGCAAGUAUACAAUUAUGUGAUGAAAAUAUUUUCAAGAAACAUUUUAGUGAAGUAUCGUCUUAUUUGUUAUAAAUACCUAGCAUACUUGACCAUUCAAUUCAAUUCUUUAAUUAAAAAAAAUUACUUUAGUUGAAAAAUUAAAUCAUAAGCUCACUGGUCUCUCUAAUCCCAGUUUGUUGUUGUAGGUGCCACAUGAUUAUUAAUGGAUUAUAAUUACAUGGUUUACAUAAUUGUACUAGUGCACUGUUUUACUCUUUUAGUGCUACAGCUUGUGAACGAUUCUGUUAUUUAGUUUAACCCUUUGACUGCACUUAGUAUUUUCCUUAAAGCCAAGCAGUUUUUUUUCCCAGUUUUGCGAGCUUUCUUUCUAAAAUCUAUAAAAAAAUUGUUUCUUACUGCAGUUCUAACUGUACUUGGUACAAUUUUGUUCACAAUGAACAAUAUAAUACAAUGAUAAUAAGUAACUGAGGUAAAUAUUUUAAUUUGAAUUUAAACGAAAAGCAAGGUAAUGACGUAAUAGUAUUACAGCAUUAAGUUUAAUUUUGUUGAGUAAGAAACAAGCUGUUGUUUAGGACAAAAAGCUUAGAAACUCUCAAAGUACUUAGUCCUAAAAAGAUCCUUGCUGUUGCUUCCGGAGUAACAGGAUAUUCUGGAUGGGCAAGGUUGGGGGUAGGGGCCGCUUCUCAGACAUGCUUUAUUACAAGCUUUAGUUGAAUUCUAUUUUAAAAUGCACUUGUACUAAUAACGACUGGAUUAUUGCUAAAUAAUAUAAUUGUUAUAAUGCACUUUGGUUAAUCCGGAACUUCAGAUAACUGCAUUUCAGAUAAUCACAUCCCAAGUGCACUUAUAAUAUUCUGUUUUUGUUGUUUAUUAGUUCGUGCACAAUUACAAAUACAUAUUUUUCUCAAAUAUUUAUAGUUAUUACUUUUGCAAAUCAUUUACGUAUUUAUUUAAAUUUUCAAUACUUUUUGUUUUCCUAAAUGAAUUUUUAUGUUUAAAUUUUGUGUUGCAACAGCACUAAGCAAAAAGUUCAAAACAGUUUAUCAGUAAUUUAAAUCAAACUCAAAAUACUGCAGUGAUAACAUAUAUUUUAAAUAAAUUUGUUUAUGUUGAAUUUAUACAUCAGAAUAUAUAUUUUAUAAAUUUAUAUUUUCCAAUGUUAUAUGAAGAAACAAAACAAAGUUACAAAUGUGGUUUUCAAUACGUAUUUCUCUAAAUAUCUAUUUUGCACCUAGCGUAUAACAAUGUGUCAAAUGCUGUAGCACUAAAAGGGUUAAAAUGAUUCACAGUUUAAUUGAAAUGUACUAGGAAAAAGCUCAAUAAUUUUAUUGUAAUUUUUUUAUACAAUUUAUAUUUAAAUACGUCCCUUCAGGUAGAGGGCUCAAAACGACUGAUAGAUGAAAGUGUGGUAGGACGUUAGUUUGUAAUAUAUUGUUAAACACAAGAAAACGUACACUGUUCAGUAGAAUUUUAUAUUAUUACAAAUUAACUUUGUUCUAGUUUGGAGUUUUUUUAAAUUGGAAAAAUUUACUGUACGUGUUUGUAAAUAAAAUGUUGAAUGUAUUUUGAUUCAUCGCAAGUAAAACGUUAUUCAACUAACGAAGAGGGUCAUCAAUAGUUAUCUUAUUUUUAUAAAUGGCUGUGCUUUUUAUCCCUUAUUCGCAGUAUGGAGUUUGGUUAUGUUUGUAGUUCAUAAGUAGUCACAAUGGCUUCCGUAAUGGAGAUGGAGUCUCAGUUCUCAGUUGCAGCAAUUUAUGUUACCACUGGUUUAACUAUACAAAGAUAUGAUAAUGAAAUAAAUAGACUGUUGAUAAAUAACAAAA
rnacentral:lncRNA from 1 species